GAUGAACGCUGACAGAAUGCUUAACACAUGCAAGUCGAUGGGGAAGUGGUGCUUGCACCAUGGCAACCAUGGCGGACGGGUGAGUAACGCGUAAGGGACUUACCUGCAGGACUGGGAUAACAGGGGGAAACUCCUGACAAGACCGGAUAAUGUCAUGGAGCUGCAUGGCUUUAUGAUGAAAGGAGACGCCUGCGGAGAGCCUUGCGUCCUAUUAGCUAGUUGGUGAGGUAAUGGCUCACCAAGGCGAAGAUAGGUAGCCGGCCUGAGAGGGUGGACGGCCACAAGGGGACUGAGAUACGGCCCUUACUCCUACGGGAGGCAGCAGUGGGGAAUAUUGGACAAUGGGGCAACCCUGAUCCAGCAAUUCUGUGUGCACGAAGAAGGUUUUCGGAUUGUAGAGUGCUUUCAGCAGGGAAGAAGUAAGUGACGGUACCUGCAGAAGAAGCGACGGCUAAAUACGUG
rnacentral:rRNA from 1 species